rnacentral:rRNA from 1 species
AUUGAACGCUGGCGGCAGGCCUAACACAUGCAAGUCGAACGAGUGGCGGACGGGUGAGUAAUGUCUGGGAAACUGCCCGAUGGAGGGGGAUAACUGCUGGAAACGGUAGCUAAUACCGCAUACCAUCGGAUGUGCCCAGAUGGGAUUAGCUAGUAGGUGGGGUAACGGCUCACCUAGGCGACGAUCCCUAGCUGGUCUGAGAGGAUGGCCAGGCAGACUGGAACUGAGACACGGUCCAGACGCCUACGGGAGGCAGCAGUGGGGAAUAUGGCAGAAUGGGCGAAAGCCUGAUGCAGCCAGGCCGAGUGUAUGAAGAAGGCCUUCGGGUUGUAAAGUGCUUGCAGCCGGGAGGCGUUACUCGCAGAAGAAGCACCGGCUAACUCCGUGCCAGCAGCCGCGGUAAUAC